AGAGUUUGAUCCUGGCUCAGGACGAACGCUGGCGGCGUGCUUAACACAUGCAAGUCGAGCGGACCUUCGGGUUAGCGGCGAACGGGUGAGUAACACGUGGGCAACCUGCCCCGAGCUCUGGAAUAACUCCGGGAAACCGGGGCUAAUGCCGGAUAUUCACACUUCCGGGCAUCUGGUGGUGUGGAAAGAUUUAUUGGCUUGGGAUGGGCCCGCGGCCUAUCAGCUUGUUGGUGGGGUGACGGCCUACCAAGGCGACGACGGGUAGCCGGCCUGAGAGGGCGACCGGCCACACUGGGACUGAGACACGGCCCAGACCCCUACGGGAGGCAGCAGUGGGGAAUAUUGCGCAAUGGGCGAAAGCCUGACGCAGCGACGCCGCGUGAGGGAUGACGGCCUUCGGGUUGUAAACCUCUUUCAGCAGGGACGAAGCGUAAGUGACGGUACCUGCAGAAGAAGCACCGGCCAACUACGUGCCAGCAGCCGCGGUAAUACGUAGGGUGCAAGCGUUGUCCGGAAUUAUUGGGCGUAAAGAGCUCGUAGGCGGCUUGUCGCGUCGGCUGUGAAAACCCGGGGCUCAACCCCGGGCCUGCAGUCGAUACGGGCAGGCUAGAGUCCGGUAGGGGAGACUGGAAUUCCUGGUGUAGCGGUGAAAUGCGCAGAUAUCACAGGAACACCGGUGGCGAAGGCGGGUCUCUGGGCCGGAACUGACGCUACGAGCGAAAGCGUGGGGAGCGAACAGGAUUAGAUACCCUGGUAGUCC
rnacentral:rRNA from 1 species